rnacentral:rRNA from 1 species
GAAGGGAGCUUGCUCCCGGAUGUUAGCGGCGGACGGGUGAGUAACACGUGGGUAACCUGCCUGUAAGACUGGGAUAACUCCGGGAAACCGGAGCUAAUACCGGAUAGUUCCUUGAACCGCAUGGUUCAAGGAUGAAAGACGGUUUCGGCUGUCACUUACAGAUGGACCCGCGGCGCAUUAGCUAGUUGGUGAGGUAACGGCUCACCAAGGCGACGAUGCGUAGCCGACCUGAGAGGGUGAUCGGCCACACUGGGACUGAGACACGGCCCAGACUCCUACGGGAGGCAGCAGUAGGGAAUCUUCCGCAAUGGACGAAAGUCUGACGGAGCAACGCCGCGUGAGUGAUGAAGGUUUUCGGAUCGUAAAGCUCUGUUGUUAGGGAAGAACAAGUGCAAGAGUAACUGCUUGCACCUUGACGGUACCUAACCAGAAAGCCACGGCUAACUACGUGCCAGCAGCCGCGGUAAUACGUAGGUGGCAAGCGUUGUCCGGAAUUAUUGGGCGUAAAGGGCUCGCAGGCGGUUUCUUAAGUCUGAUGUGAAAGCCCCCGGCUCAACCGGGGAGGGUCAUUGGAAACUGGGAAACUUGAGUGCAGAAGAGGAGAGUGGAAAUUCCACGUGUAGCGGUGAAAUGCGUAGAGAUGUGGAGGAACACCAGUGGCGAAAGCGACUCUCU